GCAUUCUGGAAAAAGAUGCAGACUGGUACAGGCUGAAAGCGCAGCGGAGAUGACACUGUUUCAAGAUUCCUGCACCAGCUUCUUCGUGGUUAUAGAAGUUGGACUAAAUAAAAGGGCAUGCCGUGAACUGGAAAAUGUUUUUGAAAUCAAGGAAAAGCAGCAAAAAGGAAGGCGUUACCAUGGAACUGAGAGAGGAGAUACAAAUCUUUGUUCCUGAUGGUCUUGUUCCCACCUGCCUGGGUGCUGCAGCUCUGUGCUGCCUGAGAAAGCCAGUGACCAAGAGGAGCAGAAGACUAGCAGUCGACCUUCCAACCACGAUGGCCGUUGAAGAGAUGCCAUCAAGCCAGGGUCUCUGCUUCUCCCUGCUGCAGCCUGUAUCCGAGACUGGCUUCCUGACCUGCACCUCGGUGAAAGGAAGGAAAGAGAAGGGGAAAUAGAAACAGAAGAGCAUGUACAUUUUGACCUACUGUUCAACUAGACUUCCAAUGAUGAAUGGAGGGUGAUUUCUACCAGGUGAAAAUCUUAUUUAUCUAUCCUAGACUGUGGGUAAAAAAUCCUGGAUGAGAGCC
rnacentral:lncRNA from 1 species